UGGGGAAUCUUGGACAAUGGGGGCAACCCUGAUCCAGCCAUGCCGCGUGAGUGAUGAAGGCCUUAGGGUCGUAAAGCUCUUUCGCCUGUGAAGAUAAUGACGGUAGCAGGUAAAGAAACCCCGGCUAACUCCGUGCCAGCAGCCGCGGUAAUACGGAGGGGGUUAGCGUUGUUCGGAAUUACUGGGCGUAAAGCGCACGUAGGCGGACCAGAAAGUUGGGGGUGAAAUCCCGGGGGCUCAACCCCGGAACUGCCUCCAAAACUAUUGGUCUAGAGUUCGAGAGAGGUGAGUGGAAUUCCAAGUGUAGAGGUGAAAUUCGUAGAUAUUUGGAGGAACACCAGUGGCGAAGGCGGCUCACUGGCUCGAUACUGACGCUGAGGUGCGAAAGUGUGGGGAGCAAACAGGAUUAGAUACCCCUGGUAGUCCACACCGUAAAACGAUGAAUGCCAGUCGUCGGGUAGCAUGCUAUUCGGUGACACACCUAACGGAUUAAGCAUUCCGCCUGGGGAG
rnacentral:rRNA from 1 species